rnacentral:lncRNA from 12 species
AGUCUGGUCCACAUUUCGUUUCACAUCCUUUGGGCUCCAAUUCUUUCUCCUUAAGUAUUUUUGGGGAAGCCGGGUGUUGGGCUCUUUUUCAGGCAGAUGUUUCCGAAGAUAACAGGCCACAGCUAGAGCCUGGAAGGAGGCAGAGGUGGGCCCAGAGACGGGCACGCUGCCUCCUGCACAGCCUCCUGUAGCGACUGAGCAUCCCGCAGUGGGUGCCCAGCCCAGGCACCGCCCAGGGGGCAUGCAUGUGCAGUAGGCCUCCUUUGCCUGCACUAACAGGAGCCAGCCUGUGCUGGGGAGGCCUGAGGAAGAUGUGGGGACAUGUCCACGUGGAUGAGCCACAGCCUCCUCAGAAACUACGCAGAGUCUUCAGGGGGAUAUUGGGCAGCGUUCAUGAUGACAGGAGCCUCAGUCUCUUCAGGACACACGGACACCCGGUGUAGUCUUCAGGAAAUAUGGAGAUGCGUCCAUGCAGACAGAAGACCCCAGCCUUGUCAGAGCCUGUGGUGAGGCCUAAGGAAGAUGUGGAUGCUGAAUCCACACUGACAGGAGUCUCCAGCCUCCUCAGGAUGCACUGUGAGGAUCGGGAUGAUUUGGGGCCACGUCCGUGCUGACAGGAGCUCCCAGGCUCCUCAAGUCUUAUGGUGAGGCAGAGGAAAAUGUGGGGCCAUGUCCUCCUCAGGACCUGCACUUUGGCUUCGGGACACAUGAGGCUGCGUCUAGGCUGACAGGAACCCACAGCCUCCUCAGGACCCACUGUGAGUUUUCUGGGGGACGUGGGUCCAUGUCCAGGCUGACAGGAGCCUCCAGCAUCCUGAGAACCUGCUGUGAGGCUUCCAGAGUAUGUGAGGCAUAAUCCAGGUUGACAGGAGACCCGGGUCCUCAGUACCCGCUGACUAUGACUCAGGAACACGUGGGGCCAUGUCCCCACUCACAGGAGCCCGGCUUCCUCAGGACCCCCUGGAGGACUCUGGAGGCGCCGUUGGGGGCCACGUCCAUGUCAGAAGGGACUCCUCAGAACUCUGGGUAAGUGAAUGGGUAGAAUGAAUGGUAAGACAGGGGAGGGGAGGCAGUUGGUGGUUAGUCUUAGGUUAGAUGUUAGGGGUUAGUGAUUAUGCUUAUGGUUAUGGAUUAAAGGUUAGGGUGAGGGAUAAGGGUAAGGUUCAGUUGUUAGGAGUUAGGAUCGGGGUUUGGAUUAGGGACAGGAGUUAGACUUAGGGUUAGGGUUUAGAAUUUAGGGAUUAGGGCAGGAGGUUACGAGUUGGAGUUUGGGUUAUGGUUAGAGUUAGGUUUAGGCUAGGUUUGCAGUUGGGGUUAGGGGUUAGGGUGUGAGUUAGGGUUAGGGGUUAGUUUUAGGGUUCAGAGUUAAAGUUAGGGCUAGGUUU